CCUACGGGAGGCUGCAGUAGGGCAUAUUGCUCAAUGGGGGCAACCCUGAAGCAGCAACGCCGCGUGGAGGAUGAAGGUUUUCGGAUUGUAAACUCCUUUUGAUAUAGAAGAUAAUGACGGUAUCUAACGAAUAAGCACCGGCUAACUCCGUGCCAGCAGCCGCGGUAAUACGGAGGGUGCAAGCGUUACUCGGAAUCACUGGGCGUAAAGCGCGCGUAGGAGGGAUAGCAAGUCAGAUGUGAAAUCCUAUGGCUUAACCAUAGAACUGCAUUUGAAACUGUUAUUCUAGAGUAUGGGAGAGGUAGGUGGAAUUCUUGGUGUAGGGGUAAAAUCCGUAGAGAUCAAGAGGAAUACUCAUUGCGAAGGCGACCUGCUAGAACAUAACUGACGCUGAUGCGCGAAAGCGUGGGGAGCAAACAGGAUUAGAUACCCCUGUAGUC
rnacentral:rRNA from 1 species